rnacentral:tRNA from 1 species
GACAGGAUGGCCGAGUGGUUAAGGCGGCAGUUUUGAAUGAUUUCCACCUGUGAAAUACAUUAGCUGCUUCACUUUGUGAGCGUGAGUUCAAACCUCACUCCUGUCG